rnacentral:rRNA from 1 species
GAUGGGGAGAAGACAUUGUGUCUUCGAGUCGUUGAUUUCACACUGCCGAGAAAAGCCUCUAGAUAGAAAAUAGGUGCCCGUACCGCAAACCGACACAGGUAGUCAAGAUGAGAAUUCUAAGGUGAGCGAGCGAACUCUCGUUAAGGAACUCGGCAAAAUGACCCCGUAACUUCGGGAGAAGGGGUGCUCUUUAGGGUUAACGCCCAGAAGAGCCGCAGUGAAUAGGCCCAAGCGACUGUUUAUCAAAAACACAGGUCUCUGCUAAACCGUAAGGUGAUGUAUAGGGGCUGACGCCUGCCCGGUGCUGGAAGGUUAAGAGGAGUGGUUAGCUUCUGCGAAGCUACGAAUCGAAGCCCCAGUAAACGGCGGCCGUAACUAUAACGGUCCUAAGGUAGCGAAAUUCCUUGUCGGGUAAGUUCCGACCCGCACGAAAGGCGUAACGAUUUGGGCACUGUCUCAACGAGAGACUCGGUGAAAUCAUAGUACCUGUGAAGAUGCAGGUUACCCGCGACAGGACGGAAAGACCCCGUGGAGCUUUACUGUAGCCUGAUAUUGAAAUUCGGCACAGCUUGUACAGGAUAGGUAGGAGCCUUUGAAACGUGAGCGCUAGCUUACGUGGAGGCGCUGGUGGGAUACUACCCUAGCUGUGUUGGCUUUCUAACCCGCACCACUUAUCGUGGUGGGAGACAGUGUCAGGCGGGCAGUUUGACUGGGGCGGUCGCCUCCUAAAAGGUAACGGAGGCGCUCAAAGGUUCCCUCAGAAUGGUUGGAAAUCAUUCAUAGAGUGUAAAGGCAUAAGGGAGCUUGACUGCGAGACCUACAAGUCGAGCAGGGUCGAAAGACGGACUUAGUGAUCCGGUGGUUCCGCAUGGAAGGGCCAUCGCUCAACGGAUAAAAGCUACCCCGGGGAUAACAGGCUUAUCUCCCCCAAGAGUUCACAUCGACGGGGAGGUUUGGCACCUCGAUGUCGGCUCAUCGCAUCCUGGGGCUGUAGUCGGUCCCAAGGGUUGGGCUGUUCGCCCAUUAAAGCGGUACGCGAGCUGGGUUCAGAACGUCGUGAGACAGUUCGGUCCCUAUCCGUCGUGGGCGUAGGAAAUUUGAGAGGAGCUGUCCUUAGUACGAGAGGACCGGGAUGGACAUACCUCUGGUGUACCAGUUGUCGUGCCAACGGCAUAGCUGGGUAGCUAUGUGUGGACGGGAUAAGUGCUGAAAGCAUCUAAGCAUGAAGCCCCCCUCAAGAUGAGAUUUCCCAACUUCGGUUAUAAGAUCCCUCAAAGAUGAUGAGGUUAAUAGGUUCGAGGUGGAAGCAUGGUGACAUGUGGAGCUGACGAAUACUAAUCGAUCGAAGACUUAAUC